GUUCCCUUGAGGAGUGGCUUCCGGAGCUAACGCGUUAAGUCGACCGCCUGGGGAGUACGGCCGCAAGGUUAAAACUCAAAUGAAUUGACGGGGGCCCGCACAAGCGGUGGAGCAUGUGGUUUAAUUCGAUGCAACGCGAAGAACCUUACCUACUCUUGACAUCCACGGAAUUCGGCAGAGAUGCCUUAGUGCCUUCGGGAACCGUGAGACAGGUGCUGCAUGGCUGUCGUCAGCUCGUGUUGUGAAAUGUUGGGUUAAGUCCCGCAACGAGCGCAACCCUUAUCCUUUGUUGCCAGCGAUUCGGUCGGGAACUCAAAGGAGACUGCCGGUGAUAAACCGGAGGAAGGUGGGGAUGACGUCAAGUCAUCAUGGCCCUUACGAGUAGGGCUACACACGUGCUACAAUGGCGCAUACAAAGAGAAGCGACCUCGCGAGAGCAAGCGGACCUCAUAAAGUGCGUCGUAGUCCGGAUCGGAGUCUGCAACUCGACUCCGUGAAGUCGGAAUCGCUAGUAAUCGUGGAUCAGAAUGCCACGGUGAAUACGUUCCCGGGCCUUGUACACACCGCCCGUCACACCAUGGGAGUG
rnacentral:rRNA from 2 species